rnacentral:lncRNA from 1 species
CUGAGCUCUCCACUCCUUCAGUAGGCUCCCGUUUCCAUCCAAGAAACCAUGACACUAUGGCAGGCCAACUUACUAGCUUUCAAGUAAGGUAACAUCUCAGACCAUCAUAGGUUUUGACAGGGGAAACUCUGAAGGACCACAGGAGUUGGAGGUUCCACGUAUCUCUAAGUAGUAACAUACGAUGGGUCCAAAACAGAAGAAAGAGAACUCAAGAUUCCCGAGCCACAGAGCUGUUGAUUGGAGGCUGACUCAGAGAAACCCUGGAUUCAGUGACAUACAGAGACAACAGGUACAGGAUCAGUAUGGGUUUUAAUUGAGGGGCUCGGCACCAAAUGACAGACUUGACACAUCCACCCCCACCAUGGAUGCUGUCCGUCCACUGUUGCACAAUGUCCUUCAGUGUCUAAUUUACAGAUCCAGCUGUAUUUCCCCUUCCACCUGCAUCCCUGAAGUUCCUCCCACCUGAAAACUUCACCUGACCCAAGAAAGCAAAGGAAAAAACCCGGAGAGCCAGCUCAUAGUCUGGUUCACUGUUUAACAGCCAGAAGCCAGAGCCUGCGUACUAGAAGUGGAUGCCCAGGAAGUACUUGUGAGCUGACUAAGAAUGUAAGAACGCCACCCACUUCAUUCAGGAAAGUGAGGCAGGAUUCCAUGGAGUAUGAAUGACUGCACAUGGAACAAGCAGGUUAUCAUUUAUAUUCAGCAAGGGACCUCCAUGAACAGGACAUUUGGGGAGCUGCUAUCAAACAUCAGAACUUCUGACACUGUGCACACAGUCUUAUAUUGUGCCUUGUCUGUUGUGAUGUCUCACUACAGUAAUGAUUAAGAUGAUGAGCA